UGGGGAAUAUUGGACAAUGGGCGAAAGCCUGAUCCAGCCAUGCCGCGCGUGUGAAGAAGGUCUUCGGAUUGUAAAGCCCUUUAAGUUGGGAGGAAGGGCAGUAAGCGAAUACCUUGCUGUUUUGACGUUACCGACAGAAUAAGCACCGGCUAACUCUGUGCCAGCAGCCGCGGUAAUACAGAGGGUGCAAGCGUUAAUCGGAAUUACUGGGCGUAAAGCGCGCGUAGGUGGUUCGUUAAGUUGAAUGUGAAUGCCCCGGGCUCAACCUGGGAACUGCAUCCAAAACUGGCGAGCUAAAGGAGGGCAGAGGGUGGUGGAAUUUCCUGUGUAGCGGUGAAAUGCGUAGAUAUAGGAAGGAACACCAGUGGCGAAGGCGACAACCUGGGCUCAUACUAACACUGAGGUGCGAAAGCGUGGGGAGCAAACAGG
rnacentral:rRNA from 1 species